AACGUUAAGAUAUGGAAGAAAGUGUUGGAAGAACCUAUACGAAUAAAUCAAAGUUGUUUGGGUUGCUGUUGUUGCUAAAGACUGGGAAAAGGAAGAAAAAGAUAUGGUUUAUUUGUUGAUCUUUACGAUCGGUAUGAGCUGACUCGGAAUAGUUAACAAUUUCUUCUCGUAAGGUUGAAUUGUUAAACGGAUGUUGAGAUGAAUCUUUCUUCAUCAAAUCAGUGUAUCAAGGUAACAGCACAGUCUGAUAUUUCACUAAACCAGUGUAUGCGGUAAUAAUCCAGGCUGAUGUACUCAAGCGGGGACUGCGAGGGAGAUCCAGCGAACUUAGACAAGAUCAGGACUUAUGGAAACCCGACAGGGAAGAAAAGGCACAUCAAUUAAUUCAUGUGGUGUGCAUCUUUAAUCGGUCCUUGUGGUGUUUUGACAUGUGUUUGAGUUUGUCAGUGUUUCAGGUCAACUGACUUGGUUCUUCUAUUUAUCCAAUUGAUUCAGAGCAACGAGAAAUGCAAUGGUUUAAGAGGAAACAUCACUGCUUUGAUGCCAUCAAGGUGUUGCUAAAACAAGCUAGCGGCAGACCAGUGGGAUAAGCAAGCUCGGAAAGAUAAGGAAUGGUUGUGAGCCUGCAAUUUUAUCCUUAUUUGAGCUCCCCUCAAGAAUGAAAAGGGAACUCGUUGUAGGUGGAUCUCUAGGCUUGAAGUCUGGCCUUACUCGAGCAAUACACGAGAUUCUCUGACAGGAUGUUGCAAAAGAACUUGCCGCCGAAUCGAAGGGAAAGUCGUCUUUCAGUGGUGGAAAGCUUGGACAUGUACUUCCCGUGUAUGGAGGAGAAUAAGCGAUUCACUGCUUUUCACCAAGAGAUUGAGGAGCUUCUUUACAGUGAUACUCAAAACAAAGAACACAUACUGUUCCAAGUCAAUACCAUUCCCAAUGGCAAGACUUGAUUGUGUGAGGCACAUAACCUUAUUAGUUAAAAUACCUUGUUGUGGUGGCUGGAGAUCGAAGAAAUGAGUCAAAAGGACUUGGAAGAGCCGAAGAAAUGAAGAACAUGUAUGCCUUGUAUGAGACCUACAAACUAGAUGGAGAUUUCCGCUGGAUAUUCUUUUCUCACAGAUGAACUGGGUUCGAGAUGGCGAACUCUACCGUUGCCUUUUAUGAAGCAUUUAAGCGCACGGUUGUUGGAGCCAUGACUUGUGGCCUACCCACAUUUGCAACUCUUCAUGGUUGUCCAGCAGAGAUCAUUAUUCAUGAACACUCUGUCUUCCACAUUGAUCCCAUCCAAGGUGAAAAGUCCGCUGAGCUUCCUGUCAGUUUCUUUGAGAAGUGUAACACUGAAUCAUCUCACCGCGACUGAAUUCCUUAAGCAUAUUUACAAGAAGCAUAUAAGGUAGAUACACUGAGAAAGGCUCACGACACUGUUUGGGGUUUAUGGAUUCAUGUUAAGAUGUUUUGUGCUCUCGAGAAUUGCACAUUGGCAUUGGGAGUAAUUCGGGCAUCUGACAAGUAAAGCAAAAGAAAGAUGUCUUUAAGAAUUAAGUUUAAUUGGUUUAGAGUUAGAUGGCAACUUCUACAAGAAUUUACUAGUUAGAUAGAAUUUAUACCUUGGGGGUUGCUGUAAUUCUUUGUACUACAAGAACACCAAGAGAAAUCCAAACAGAAGGUUGUUGGGUUUUGUCCACUUUAAUGCAGAAGGAAAUGCUCUCCUUGCAACAUUGCAGUGGUUACAAAAUGGAACACAAUUGUUGUUUGCCAAGUGCUUAAAAUUCUUUAUCUUGCCAAUGUACAAAAUCAACGCUUGGUAUAUUUGCUUGUCUAGCCUUGUCAGUCAU